rnacentral:rRNA from 1 species
ACUAAAUAGAUACCCGGGUAGUCCACGCCCUAAACGAUGUCUACUAGUUGUUGGUGGAGUAAAAUCCAUGAGUAAACGCAGCUAAACGCGUGAAGUAGACCGCCUGGGGAGUACGGUCGCAAGAUUAAAACUCAAAGGAAUUGACGGGGCCGCACAAGCGGUGGAUUAUGUGGAUUAAUUCGAUGCAACGCGAAAAACCUUAACCUGGCCUUGACAUGCCACUAACGAAGCAGAGAUGCAUUAGGUGCCCGUAAGGGAAAGUGGACACAGGUGCUGCAUGGCUGUCGUCAGCUCGUGUCGUGAGAUGUUGGGUUAAGUCCCGCAACGAGCGCAACCCUUGCCAUUAAUUGCCAUCA